rnacentral:rRNA from 1 species
UACGUAGGGGGCCAGCGUUGCUCGGAAUUACUGGGCGUAAAGGGUUCGUAGGCGGUGUGGCAAGUCGGAAGUGAAAUCUCUGGGCUCAACCCAGAGGCUGCUCCCGAAACUGCCAUGCUAGAGUGUGGGAGAGGCGAGUGGAAUUACAGGUGUAGCGGUGAAAUGCGUAGAUAUCUGUAGGAACACCCGUGGCGAAGGCGGCUCGCUGGACCACAACUGACGCUGAGGAACGAAAGCUAGGGGAGCAAACAGG